AACGAACGCUGGCGGCAGGCUUAACACAUGCAAGUCGAGCGCAUCCUUCGGGGUGAGCGGCGGACGGGUGAGUAACGCGUGGGAACGUGCCCUCUUCUACGGAAUAGCCUCGGGAAACUGAGAGUAAUGCCGUAUACGCCCGCAAGGGGAAAGAUUUAUCGGGGGAGGAUCGGCCCGCGUUGGAUUAGGUAGUUGGUGGGGUAACGGCCUACCAAGCCGACGAUCCAUAGCUGGUUUGAGAGGAUGAUCAGCCACACUGGGACUGAGACACGGCCCAGACUCCUACGGGAGGCAGCAGUGGGGAAUCUUGGACAAUGGGGGCAACCCUGAUCCAGCCAUGCCGCGUGAUCGAUGAAGGCCUUAGGGUUGUAAAGAUCUUUCAGCUGGGAAGAUAAUGACGGUACCAGCAGAAGAAGCCCCGGCUAACUCCGUG
rnacentral:rRNA from 1 species